AUUGAACGCUGGCGGCGUGCUUAACACAUGCAAGUCGAGCGGUAACGCGGGGGCAACCCUGGCGACGAGCGGCGAACGGGUGCGUAAUGCAUGGGAAUCUGCCUGAUAGUGGGGGAAUAACCCGGGGAAACUCGGGCUAAUGCCGCAUACGACCUACGGGUGAAAGCGGGGGACCGUAAGGCCUCGCGCUAUCGGAUGAGCCCAUGUCGGAUUAGCUAGUUGGUAGGGUAACGGCCUACCAAGGCUACGAUCCGUAGCUGGUCUGAGAGGACGGCCAGCCACACUGGGACUGAGACACGGCCCAGACUCCUACGGGAGGCAGCAGUGGGGAAUAUUGGACAAUGGGGAAACCCUGAUCCAGCGACGCCGCGUGUGUGAAGAAGGCCUGCGGGCUGUAAAGCACUUUCGGUGGGACGAAAUAUGCCGGGCCAAUACCCCGGCAGGCUGACGUUACCCAAUGAAGAAGCACCGGCUAACUCUGUGCCAGCAGCCGCGGUAAU
rnacentral:rRNA from 1 species